AUUGAACGCUGGCGGCAUGCCUUACACAUGCAAGUCGAACGGCAGCACGGGGGCAACCCUGGUGGCGAGUGGCGAACGGGUGAGUAACAUAUCGGAACAUACCCUAGAGUGGGGGAUAACGUAGCGAAAGUUACGCUAAUACCGCAUACGAUCUAAGGAUGAAAGUGGGGGAUCUUCGGACCUCAUGCUCAUGGAGUGGCCGAUAUCUGAUUAGCUAGUUGGUGAGGUAAAGGCUCACCAAGGCGACGAUCAGUAGCUGGUUUGAGAGAACGACCAGCCACACUGGAACUGAGACACGGUCCAGACUCCUACGGGAGGCAGCAGUGGGGAAUUCUGGACAAUGGGGGCAACCCUGAUCCAGCAAUGCCGCGUGAGUGAAGAAGGCC
rnacentral:rRNA from 1 species